UACGAAGGGUGCAAACGUUGCCCGGAAUUAUUGGGCGUAAAGCGCACGUAGGCGGCAUUGCAAGUCGGAUGUGAAAUCUUAUGGCUUAACCAUAAAAGUGCAUCCGAAACUGCAGUGCUUGAGUACUUAAGAGGAUCGCGGAAUUCCCGGUGUAGAGGUGAAAUUCGUAGAUAUCGGGAGGAACACCAGUGGCGGAGGCGGCGAUCUGGGAAGAUACUGACGCUGAGGUGCGAAAGCGUGGGGAGCAAACAGG
rnacentral:rRNA from 1 species